CCGGUCCCUGUGCCCAGCUCACCUGUCUCUCCCCAGAUGGGCAGGUACUCAUCCUGCUGAAUGUCCAGCAUGAUCUCCAGCCCGUUGCCUGUCCCCCCCUUGACCGUGGUGAGCAGAGGUUUGCCAUCCUCGCCUGAGUUAAACAUGUAACACUUCCCAUAUUUUGUAAACACCUGAAGGAGAGAAGAGAGAGAGAGAGAGAAGCACAUGGGUAACUUCAGACGGGGGUCCAGAGAUUGGCGAGACCCCAGAAAUCUGACAGCAGGACCCAAGCGUUUUUUGACUGCAUCACUCUGGUUUCCUAGCUGGACUUCAGGAUUCCAGAUGACCUUCUCCAGCCCAUCCUCUAAGAUGAGGAACCAAAGUUCAAGGAGGUUCAACGUCUUACAGAUUUGGUGGUGCACUUGCUCUUCCCACUGCCCAGUGAAGCGCUACUCGAUCAUACUAGACACAAUGUGGUUGGUCUAUGGGAGGGAGUAUCAGGAAGCAUGAGGAGCCCACACUUCUACAAAGAGUCGAGAUGCCUUCACAAAGAUGCCUCAUGCUGCAAGGUCGUGAAUGCCAAGUGCUCUAGUGUUUCAGAGGUGGAGGAGAUCCCUACAGAUGAGGCACCAGGAAAAGCUUCAAGGUGGAGGCCGGUCUGAGUCUGGCCUCAAAGGAUGAAAUGAUUCAGAUAAACAGCAAAACAAAGCAACAGGAAGGGAGAGAUAACAACAAAGGCAGAGAUGUAGGAGUGAGCAAGGGAGACUGAAUGAGCAGUCCCUGGGACAGAAGGUGGUUUGUGAGGCUGGAAGAGGAGUUGAAACUUGUUUGUAAUUAUUGUGUGGUGUAUUUGCAUUUCUAAUUGCGCUGAGGGACACUGAAGGCCAAGCUUCCAGUCUCUGGGCUGUCUUUCACCUGCGCCGCGGUGCUGAGUUGUUGGCGGCGGCGGCAGCGUCUUUUCUCCAAGCAGCACCUGUGAGAGCAGCAGCUCCAGCUGGAGUCCCAAGACUUCCAAUCAACAUAGAGAGCCACAGGGCCUGUGCCUGCGUGGGUUUGCUGUAAGGAGCCUGUAACGCAUCGAGGAGCCCAGCGCCCAACCCCACACCUGGCAUUGGCUGGGUGCUCAAUAAAUG
rnacentral:lncRNA from 10 species